UGCCGCGUGAGGGAUGACAGGGGUCAGCCUUGUUAACCACUGUGGGACGGGACGAGAAGGCACCACGGGCGCCCGGGACGGUACCGUCAAAAGAAGGGUCGGCUAACUACGUGCCAGCAGCCGCGGUAAUACGUAGGACCCAAGGGUUGUCCGGAUUUACUGGGUAUAAAGGGUGCGCAGGCGGUCGAGUGCGUCAGAAGUGAAAUAUCCGGGCUUAACCCUGAGGGUGCCUUUGAUACGGCUUGACUUGAGUCCGAGAGAGGGUGAUGGAAUUCCUGGUGUAGCGGUGAAAUGCGUAAAUAUCAGGAGGAACACCGGUGGCGAAGGCGGACACCUGGCUCGGCACUGACGCUCAGGCACGAAAGCGCGAGGAUCAAACAGGAUUAGAUACCCUGGUAGUCC
rnacentral:rRNA from 1 species